AAAAUUUUAUUUGGAUUGAAGAAAUUUUGACAGCCAUGACAGUGCCAAAAUUUCUUCCAUGCAAACAAAAAUUUUAUCUUCAUUUCGCCAUGGAUUUCCAUACCUUGUCGAGGAGAGAGUUCCAAGCCCUAAGAGAAAUAAGAUUCCGGCCAAUAUCACUUAUGUCGCCAUGCCGACACUCUUGCUGCUCGAUCUUCAAUCUGAGUCAUUUUCUUUCUAGUAGUUUCAUCUUUUCAUUUUAGAUUGUUUUGUUCAAGAUUUGUUUUCUGAUUUUGGACUGUUUGCUCUUCGUAUAGGCCAAAGAAAUCAAGGAGAUUUUGUACGAUGACAGAUCUGGAGUACCUGAAUCGUUUAUUGAUUUUGUAGUUUAAAUCUUGUGAUUUUGGUGAUUUUGAAGCGUAUAAUAUAAUUCUACUGUGUUGUGAGGUAAAUAAGAUUUUUCUAGGGCUUUUGAAAGUUAAUUUAGAUAUUUCGUUAUUUGCUCUUGGUAUAGGUUGAAGGAAUCGACCAGUUUUCAAGCCUUGAUAGAUAGUACCUGAAUCGCCGAUGAAAGCAGAGGCGGAAAUUUCACGAACUGCGUUGAGAUCUUUGAAAAGAAGAAAGACCCUAAAAGAUGAAGCGUAUAAUAUAAUUCUACUGUGUUAUGAGGUAAAUAAGAUUUUUCUAGGGUUUUUGAAACUUAAUUUAGAUAUUUCGUUAUUUGCAUUUGGUAUAGGUUGAAGGAAUCGACCAGUUUUCGAGCCUUGAUAGAUCUGGAGUACCUGAAUCGCCGAUGAAAGCAGAGGCAGAAAUUUCACGAACUGCAUUGAGAUCUUCGAAAAGAAGAAAGGCCCUAAAAGAUGAAGCGUUGAAGGAAUCGACCAGUUUUCGAGCCUUGAUAGAUCUCGAGUACCUGAAUCGCUGAUGAAAGCAGAGGUUAUUUCCUCGGAAAUUCCACGAAUUGCAUUGAGAUCUUCGAAAAGAAAAAAGACCUUAAAAGAUGAGGCAACUACCACUCGAUCACAUUGAGAACUUCGAAAAGAAGAAAGCCCCUCGAUGAUGAAGUAAUUACUACUCGAUCACGCUGAGGUGCAACAUGAGUUUAGGGGAGAUCAGAAAAUGGAAAAAAUUACUGUCCAAAUGUCGUUCAAUGAUACGCCUAACAGUUCAGAACACAUGAAGGAAAACAAGGAAUUAGAAAAUGGAGCCAAUUAUUGUUCAUAUGUCAAGUUCGAUGAUAUGUUAGGCUUAAGAGCAAGAACCAGUGAAAGAGAAGUAUUUGAUUGUCCAACAAGUAAUAAGCUUGUCCUCAAUCAUCCAACCAUCUUUCUUGUAAAGAAAGAGGCUUCUCCUCUGGCGACCAAAGUCGUCCCUUGUUAACAGGUACUACCCCAUUACU